AUGUUCACUUCAGCAGCAUAUAUACUAAAACUGGAACAAUACAGAGAAGAUUACCAUGACCCCUCUGCAAGGAUGACAUAAAAACUACUUAUUGGCCAUCUCAUAUU